AUUGAACGCUGGCGGCAUGCUUUACACAUGCAAGUCGAACGGUAACAGGCCGCAAGGUGCUGACGAGUGGCGAACGGGUGAGUAAUGCAUCGGAACGUGCCCAGUCGUGGGGGAUAACUACUCGAAAGAGUAGCUAAUACCGCAUACGAUCUAUGGAUGAAAGCGGGGGACCGUAAGGCCUCGCGCGAUUGGAGCGGCCGAUGUCAGAUUAGGUAGUUGGUGGGGUAAAGGCUCACCAAGCCAACGAUCUGUAGCUGGUCUGAGAGGACAACCAGCCACACUGGGACUGAGACACGGCCCAGACUCCUACGGGAGGCAGCAGUGGGGAAUUUUGGACAAUGGGCGCAAGCCUGAUCCAGCAACGCCGCGUGCAGGAAGAAGGCCUUCGGGUUGUAAACUGCUUUUGUACGGAACGAAACGGCUCUGGUUAAUACCCGGGGCUAAUGACGGUACCGUAAGAAUAAGCACCGGCUAACUACGUG
rnacentral:rRNA from 1 species